rnacentral:rRNA from 1 species
CCUACGGGAGGCAGCAGUGAGGAAUAUUAGCCAAUGGACGAGAGUCUGAACCAGCCAAGUAGCGUGAAGGAUGACUGCCCUAUGGGUUGUAAACUUCUUUUAUAUGGGAAUAAAAUGUUCCACGUGUGGGAUUUUGUAUGUACCAUAUGAAUAAGGAUCGGCUAACUCCGUGCCAGCAGCCGCGGUAAUACGGAGGAUCCGAGCGUUAUCCGGAUUUAUUGGGUUUAAAGGGAGCGUAGGUGGAUUGUUAAGUCAGUUGUGAAAGUUUGCGGCUCAACCGUAAAAUUGCAGUUGAAACUGGCAGUCUUGAGUACAGUAGAGGUGGGCGGAAUUCGUGGUGUAGCGGUGAAAUGCUUAGAUAUCACGAAGAACUCCGAUUGCGAAGGCAGUUCACUGGACUGCAACUGACACUGAGGCUCGAAAGUGUGGGUAUCAAACAGGAUUAGAUACCCCUGUAGUC